GGGGGCCCGAGGAUUCUAGAGAGAGCACAGCCCAGGCACAGUGGGAGUCGCAGUGGCUGCCGCCGUGGCCGCGUAGCCCGAACGCAGAUCGUGGAAGCCGAAGACGCGGCAACGGUGGUCCCUCCAGAUGCCAGGGAAGGUUUGCAGGAAGCCGCUCCCGACACCCUUUGCGCCACCGGAAGCCUCGUUCCCUCAGAUUUCCCCCUCCCUCCCGGACCGACUUCCGGGUGUGGCUGCCGCCCUUCCCCCACCCACGCCGGCGGGAGCCGCCCGUUCGCGCUGCCAGCAGCUUCCGCCUGCUACGGUCCUGGCAAGCACCUCGGGAUCCCAUUCCUUCACAGGGACCCUAGCCAGUUAAAGCUGAUACAUUCCUGUGGGUCAACUAUGCAACUAACUCAGAUUUUGAGCAAACAAAGCUCUCAAGUUGGUGAUCCUCAGGAGUCUCUGCAUUAGUUGGACAGCUCUUCUGGAAUUAUCUUCUAAGUCAACUGUGGGUUGGGUAGGUGGCUCUGCUGAUUUUUCGCUGGACUUCCACAUUUGGGACGAGUUGGCUGUCAUCAGCUCUAGAAAGGGUGUGGCCGUUUUACAUUGGCUGUUUUCCUCACAUUCCUCAAGCAGGUACUGUAAUAAAGAACUGGAGAAAUACAGUCAGAUGGGAAGUAGCCCUUGCUGUCAAGGAGCUUGCCAUCUAAUGGGGGAGACAGGCAAGUAAACCAAAGACUACACAGUGCAGUAUGGUAAGUGCCAUGAUUUUGAUGUGACAGGGCACAGUGGACGACCUUCCAAAUCAAAGCAAGUAACUAGGGGUUGACAAUGGUAAGUAUCAUAGUUGAAGUAUCCUUGAACAAGGUUUCAGGAAGAAGAAGAAGGGAAUUUCAUGCAGGGAAACAGCCAAAGCUCAGUGAGUCAAAAUAUCACAGCAUUCUUGGUAAGCCCAAUUGUUUUUUCUGUUUUGCUAUUUUGGUGGAGAGAAAGGAACACAUAAAGGAAUAACAUGAGAGAAGGCUAUUUGGGGAAGUGUAGUAGUUAAGGUUCUGGCUCAAACAACAACUGCAGCUCAUAAAGUUGACUUUAGUGGAAGGAUACUGGGGUAUCUCAUGGAAUCUUGGGAACUGUUGAAUAACCAGGGAAACUCUGGGAAACUCACUGGUAGGAAUCCAUAAACUGUCCUCCUGGUGGGCUGUAAACAACUCACCCUCUAUGCAUCUCACAUCAAAAUUCCAGUUUCUUGGGAAAACAAGUCUGUUUGCCCAAUUUGGGUCAUAUUUCCACGUCCAUGUUACUCAGGCAUGAUUCAUCUGCAAGUUAUGUGUAUAGAUAUUUUGCUACUGUUCCACCCUUACGCUGUGCUGGGGAGGGAGGUGUCACUGUGAGCUGUGUCGGUGCCUUAAGAGAUAUCUGUUGUGUCUUAUUACUUGGUUGCUUUUCCCCACAUGUACAAUGACAAAAAUGCCUUCAACCUAUUUGAUCCAGCCGUUCCAGUACAACUCCUAUACUUGCCAUCUUUCCAAGCCCAAAGCUAUAGUUCCUCAUGGUCCUGCACUCCAUGGACUAAAUUGUAAGUAUAAUUACUACCAAUGUACUCUAUAAAUAACUUUUGGGGCCAGGGUGGCAAUAGUUGCUAGAGAGAAAAAAAAAAAAAAGGAAGGAGAAGAAAACAGUGAUAGUUCUUAUUUUAAAAGGAAAAAAAGAGGCAGGAGGCUCUCUUGAGGCCAGGAGUUUAAGACCAGCCUAGGCAGCAUUUCAAGACCCUGUCUCUACUAAAAAGUAAAAAAAAAAUUUAGUCAGGCAUGGUGGCAUGCACCUGUAGUCGUAGCUACUCAGGAGACUGAGGUGGGAGGAUUGAUUGAGCUCAGGAGUUUGAGGCUGCAGUGAGCAAUCAUCAUGCCAUUGCACUCCAGCCUGGGCAUCAGAGCAAGACCUUGUCUUUUAGGAAAAAAAGGCAGGGAAGAGGAAUAGGUAAUUUUUCAGUGUUCAGACAUUCCAGCAAUAUGUGUGGAGUACUCAUUCUCACUACAGUUUAUGAGGCCAUAGCUAGUAUGUAUGACUACCCAUCCAAGUUUCCCUGCUUACAGUUACUAUUCCAACUGAUUGGGGGGCUUUUCCUAAUAGAGUGAUUUAAGCCUUCAUUUUUAGACAUCUAAGCCCUUGGUGAUCAUCAGCAUAAAAUGUGACAAAUUAAACAAAAGCAAGACAGCACAUCAGAGAACAACUCUGAGGUGGAAUGAUUGGGAACCAAUGAAUAGUUGUUCAGUAAAUGGUUUAUAUUUUACAGAUGAUGAAACUGAAACACAAAAAAUUUAGAUUAACUCUUAGGUGACAAAGCCAGGAUUGAAGCUCAUGCGGUCUGGCUCCAGAACAACUCUUCUUCAUAGUUACGUUAUACUGCCCCUGCAUUGUUGGUAUUGAAAAAUUUCCUUUCAUCUCUGGUAAAAGUCAGCUCUCUAACUACUGCAUCUCACAGCUGAACAGAUAACUGAUACCGUGCUUCCAGAAGAUUUUUCUAACAGUGUUUGCAAGCUAUAAAAUAGUGCUUUCACUUAGAAAAGGCUAGACGUGGUGGUUCAUGCCUGUAAUCCCAGCACUUUGAGAGGCCGAGGCACCAUGCUGGGAGAUAAGGAUCCAACAUAAGACAAACAGUGCUGAUGCUUUUGGAAAGCUCAUAUUCAAGCUGGGGAGACAAACAACAUACAAGUGGCUGUAGCUACCUUCUGCAUAUGGAUAUCCAGUUUUCCCAGCACCACUUAUUAAAGAGACUGUCUUUUCUGCAGUGUAUAUUCUUGGCACCGUUGUUGAAAAUGAAUUCAUUGUAGGAGGGCUCUGAGAGAUUUCAUUUCUGUCCUGCUGAUGAAGUCUACGUUCAUUCAGGGCCUGCUGUGGAAGACCAGCCCCAAAGGAGAAGUUUUGCUCUGUUGCCCAGGCUGGAGUGCAGUGGUGCAAUCUCAGCCUACUGCAGCCUCUGCCUCCCAGGUUCAAGCAAUUCUCCUGCCUCAGCCACCUGAGCAGCUGGGAUUACAG
rnacentral:lncRNA from 10 species